rnacentral:rRNA from 1 species
CAAUAGCGUAUAUUAAAGUUGUUGCAGUUAAAAAGCUCGUAGUUGAAUUUCUGGUCAAUUUUAGUUUCGGCUUCGGUCGGUCUAAGGUUGGCCAUCCGUCUGCAAGCUAUUCUCGUCCUUCACUGUGUCGGUUUAGCGAGCUGACAUUUUACUUUGAAAAAUUAGAGUGUUUCAGGCAGGCUUUUGCCCGAAUACAUUAGCAUGGAAUAAUAGAAUAGGACUUUGGUUCUAUUUUGUUGGUUUCUAGGACCGAAGUAAUGAUUAAUAGGGACAGUUGGGGGCAUUAGUAUUUAAUUGUCAGAGGUGAAAUUCUUGGAUUUAUGAAAGACUAACUACUGCGAAAGCAUUUGCCAAGGAUGUUUUCAUUAAUUAAGAACGAAAGUUAGGGGAUCGAAGAUGAUCAGAUACCAU